rnacentral:sRNA from 1 species
GCAUACCGAUGUAGAAAAGCUGCGGAUUCUUGUCGAAGACCACGCCCUUGUAGAGAUGGUCGGCCCAAAGGCGGUUGGCGGUCU